rnacentral:rRNA from 1 species
GCGAACGGGUGCGUAACACGUGGGCAAUCUGCCUUAAAGUGGGGGAUAGCUCGGCGAAAGCCGAAUUAAUACCGCAUGUGAUCAGGGGAGACAUCUUCCCGAAAUCAAAAGUGGCGCAAGCUACUGCUCUUUGAGGAGCCCGCGGCCUAUCAGCUAGUUGGUGAGGUAACGGCUCACCAAGGCUUUGACGGGUAGCUGGUCUGAGAGGACGACCAGUCACACUGGAACUGAGACACGGUCCAGACACCUACGGGUGGCAGCAGUCGAGAAUUUUUCUCAAUGGGGGCAACCCUGAAGGAGCGACGCCGCGUGGAGGAUGAAGGUCUUCGGGUUGUAAACUCCCGUCAUUUGGGAACAAGUGUCGGUACGUAACUGCUACCGGCUUGAUAGUACCAGAAGAGGAAGAGACGGCUAACUCUGUGCCAGCAGCCGCGGUAAUACAGAGGUCUCAAGCGUUGUUCGGAUUCAUUGGGCGUAAAGGGUGUGUAGGUGGCGCCCGUAAGUCGGGUGUGAAAUUUCGGAGCUUAACUCCGAAACUGCAUUCGAUACUGCGGUGCUUGAGGACUGGAGAGGAGACUGGAAUUCAUGGUGUAGCAGUGAAAUGCGUAGAGAUCAUGAGGAAGACCAGUGGCGAAGGCGGGUCU